AGGCUCAACCUCGGGCCUGCAGUGGGUACGGGCAGACUAGAGUGCGGUAGGGGAGAUUGGAAUUCCUGGUGUAGCGGUGGAAUGCGCAGAUAUCAGGAGGAACACCGAUGGCGAAGGCAGAUCUCUGGGCCGUAACUGACGCUGAGGAGCGAAAGGGUGGGGAGCAAACAGGCUUAGAUACCCUGGUAGUCCACCCCGUAAACGUUGGGAACUAGUUGUGGGGACCAUUCCACGGUUUCCGUGACGCAGCUAACGCAUUAAGUUCCCCGCCUGGGGAGUACGGCCGCAAGGCUAAAACUCAAAGGAAUUGACGGGGACCCGCACAAGCGGCGGAGCAUGCGGAUUAAUUCGAUGCAACGCGAAGAACCUUACCAAGGCUUGACAUACACCAGAACGGGCCAGAAAUGGUCAACUCUUUGGACACUGGUGAACAGGUGGUGCAUGGUUGUCGUCAGCUCGUGUCGUGAGAUGUUGGGUUAAGUCCCGCAACGAGCGCAACCCUCGUUCUAUGUUGCCAGCACGUAAUGGUGG
rnacentral:rRNA from 1 species